rnacentral:rRNA from 1 species
UACAGAGGUCCCAAGCGUUGUUCGGAUUCACUGGGCGUAAAGGGUGCGUAGGUGGUGAGGCAAGUUCGGUGUGAAAUCUCCGGGCUUAACCCGGAAAUGGCAUUGAAAACUGCCCUGCUAGAGGGUUGGAAGGGAGACUGGAAUUCUUGGUGUAGCAGUGAAAUGCGUAGAUAUCAAGAGGAACACCAGUGGCGAAGGCGAGUCUCUGGACAACACCUGACACUGAGGCACGAAAGCUAGGGGAGCAAACAGG